rnacentral:rRNA from 1 species
GACGGAGGGUGCUAGCGUUGUCCGGAAUCACUGGGCGUAAAGGGCGCGUAGGCGGCGCCGGCAGUCGGCCGUGAAAGCCCGGGGCUCAACCCCGGAGGUGCGGCCGAGACGCCGGGGCUGGAGGCCGGAAGGGGAGGGUGGAAUACCCGGUGUAGAGGUGGAAUUCGUAGAUAUUGGGUGGAACACCGGUGGCGAAAGCGGCUCUCUGGGCCGGACCUGACGCUGAGGCGCGAAAGCGUGGGGAGCAAACAGG